rnacentral:rRNA from 1 species
AUUGAACGCUGGCGGCAGGCCUAACACAUGCAAGUCGAGCGGAAGAAGACUUCGGUCUUCGAGAGCGGCGGACGGGUGAGUAACGCGUGGGAAUCUGGCUCUUAGAGGGGGACAACUUGUGGAAACGCAAGCUAAUACCGCAUGCGUCCUACGGGAGAAAGCAGGGGAUCUUCGGACCUUGCGCUAAGAGAUGAGCCCGCGUCGGAUUAGCUAGUUGGUGGGGUAAGGGCCUACCAAGGCGACGAUCCGUAACUGGUCUGAGAGGAUGAUCAGUCACACUGGAGCUGAGACACGGUCCAGACUCCUACGGGAGGCAGCAGUGGGGAAUAUUGGACAAUGGGGGCAACCCUGAUCCAGCCAUGCCGCGUGUGUGAAGAAGGCCUUCGGGUUGUAAAGCACUUUAAGUUGGGAGGAAAGGGUGCUGGCUAAUAUCCAGUAUCUAUGACGUUACCAACAGAAUAAGCACCGGCUAACUCCGUGCCAGCAGCCGCAGUAACAC